rnacentral:snoRNA from 1 species
UACACAUCAAAGGUAAAAGUCUGGACAAAGACUGACAUAAGGUGCAAAAAACAAAUCCUCUUUUGCAACCCAGAACUCAUUGAUCAGUAUGAGUUUUGAUACGUAUAAGCAGGAAUAGU